rnacentral:rRNA from 1 species
UACGGAGGGUGCAAGCGUUAUCCGGAUUCACUGGGUUUAAAGGGUGCGUAGGCGGGCAGGUAAGUCAGUGGUGAAAUCUCCGAGCUUAACUCGGAAACUGCCGUUGAUACUAUUUGUCUUGAAUAUUGUGGAGGUAAGCGGAAUAUGUCAUGUAGCGGUGAAAUGCUUAGAUAUGACAUAGAACACCAAUUGCGAAGGCAGCUUACUACACAAUUAUUGACGCUGAGGCACGAAAGCGUGGGCAUCAAACAGG